ensembl:lncRNA
GUUAUCUGUAACAACUGUCUCCUAACUACCAUAUUGGGACAGGGCCAUUCUCUGUAACAACCGUCUCCUAAGUACCAUAUUGGGACAGGGCAUUCUCUGUAACAACUGUCUCCUAACUACCAUAUUGGGACAGGGCCAUUCUCUGUAACAACUGUCUCCUAACUACCAUAUUGGGACAGGCAUCUGUCUCUGUAACAACUGUCUCCUAACUACCAUAUUGGGACAGGGCCUUUCUCUGUAACAACUGUCUCCUAACUACCAUAUUGGGACAGGGCCAUUCUCUGUAACAACUGUCUCCUAAGUACCAUAUUGGGACAGGGAAAUUCUCUGUAGCAACUGUCUCCUAACUAGCAUGUUGGGACAGGCACCUGUCUCUGUAACAACUGUCUCCUAACUACCAUAUUGGGACAGGCACCUGUCUCCGAAACAACUGUCUCCUAACUACCAUAUUGGGACAGGGACAUCCCCUUUACAACUGUCCCCUAACUACCAUAUUGGGACAGGGCAAUUCUCUGUAACAACUGUCUCCUAACUACCAUAUUGGGACAGGCAUCUGUCUCUGUAACAACUGUCUCCUAACUACCAUAUUGGGACAGGCACCUGUCUCUGUAACAACUGUCUCCUAACUACCAUAUUGGGACAG